rnacentral:rRNA from 1 species
CAGUAGCCGCGGGAAUACGUAGGGCGCAAGCGUUGUCCGGAAUUAUUGGGCGUAAAGAGCUCGUAGGCGGUUUGUCGCGUCUGGUGUGAAAACUCGAGGCUCAACCUCGAGCUUGCAUCGGGUACGGGCAGACUAGAGUGCGGUAGGGGAGACUGGAAUUCCUGGUGUAGCGGUGGAAUGCGCAGAUAUCAGGAGGAACACCGAUGGCGAAGGCAGGUCUCUGGGCCGCAACUGACGCUGAGGAGCGAAAGCAUGGGGAGCAAACAGGAUUAGAUACCCGUAGUCCCUGUCUCUUAUACAC